AUUGAACGCUGGCGGCAUGCCUUACGCAUGCAAGUCGAACGGCAGCACGGGGCAACCUGGUGGCGAGUGGCGAACGGGUGAGUAAUGCAUCGGAACGUACCUUUCAGUGGGGGAUAACGUAGCGAAAGUUACGCUAAUACCGCAUAUUCUGUGAGCAGGAAAGCAGGGGAUCGCAAGACCUUGCGCUGAUUGAGCGGCCGAUGUCAGAUUAGCUAGUUGGUGAGGUAAAGGCUCACCAAGGCGACGAUCUGUAGCGGGUCUGAGAGGAUGAUCCGCCACACUGGAACGGAGACACGGUCCAGACUCCUACGGGAGGCAGCAGUGGGGAAUUUUGGACAAUGGGGGCAACCCUGAUCCAGCCAUGCCGCGUGAGUGAAGAAGGCCUUCGGGUUGUAAAGCUCUUUCGGCCGGGAAGAAAUCGCACGGGCUAAUACCCUGUGUGGAUGACGGUACCGGAAUAAGAAGCACCGGCUAACUACGUGCCAGCAGCCGCCGUAAAAC
rnacentral:rRNA from 1 species